CUAGAGAUUCCUACGGGAGGCAGCAGUGGGGAAUAUUGCACAAUGGGCGCAAGCCUGAUGCAGCAACGCCGCGUGAGGGAUGACGGCCUUCGGGUUGUAAACCUCUUUUAGCAGGGAAGAAGCGAAAGUGACGGUACCUGCAGAAAAAGCGCCGGCUAACUACGUGCCAGCAGCCGCGGUA
rnacentral:rRNA from 1 species